UACGAAGGGGGCUAGCGUUGUUCGGAAUUACUGGGCGUAAAGCGCACGUAGGCGGAUUUGUAAGUCAGGGGUGAAAUCCCGGGGCUCAACCUCGGAACUGCCUUUGAUACUGCAAGUCUCGAGUCCGAGAGAGGUGAGUGGAAUUCCUAGUGUAGAGGUGAAAUUCGUAGAUAUUAGGAAGAACACCAGUGGCGAAGGCGGCUCACUGGCUCGGUACUGACGCUGAGGUGCGAAAGCGUGGGGAUCAAACAGG
rnacentral:rRNA from 1 species